UACGGAGGGUGCGAGCGUUGUCCGGAAUCACUGGGCGUAAAGGGCGCGUAGGCGGUCUGCUAAGCGUGCGGUGAAAGCCUGGGGCUCAACCCCAGGUCUGCCGUGCGAACUGGUGGACUAGAGCACUGUAGAGGAAAGUGGAAUUCCCGGUGUAGUGGUGAUAUGCGUAGAUAUCGGGAGGAACACCUGUGGCGAAGGCGGCUUUCUGGGCCCUACCUGACGCUGAGACGCGAAAGCGUGGGGAGCGAACCGG
rnacentral:rRNA from 1 species